rnacentral:rRNA from 1 species
AUUGAACGCUGGCGGAAUGCUUUACACAUGCAAGUCGAACGGCAGCACGGGAGCUUGCUCCUGGUGGCGAGUGGCGAACGGGUGAGUAAUAUAUCGGAACGUAUCCAAUAAUGGGGGGUAACUAGUCGAAAGAUUAGCUAAUACCGCAUACGCCCUGAGGGGGAAAGCUAGGGACGGCAAGGCCUGGCGUUAAUGGAACGGUCGAUAUCUGAUUAGCUAGUUGGUGAGGUAAAGGCUCACCAAGGCGACGAUCAGUAGCUGGUCUGAGAGGACGACCAGCCACACUGGAACUGAGACACGGUCCAGACUCCUACGGGAGGCAGCAGUGGGGAAUUUUGGACAAUGGGCGCAAGCCUGAUCCAGCCAUUCCGCGUGAGUGAAGAAGGCCUUCGGGUUGUAAAGCUCUUUCGCAAGGGAAGAAAACUUAUCCUCUAACAUAGGAUGAGGUUGACGGUACCUUGAUAAGAAGCACCGGCUAACUACGUGCCAGCAGCCGCGGUAA